AGAGUUUGAUCCUGGCUCAGGACGAACGCUGGCGGCGUGCCUAAUACAUGCAAGUCGAGCGGAUCUUCCUUAGCUUGCUUUUGAAGAUCAGCGGCGGACGGGUGAGUAACACGUGGGCAACCUGCCUGUAAGACUGGGAUAACUUCGGGAAACCGGAGCUAAUACCGGAUAAUCCUUUCCCUCACAUGAGGGAAAGCUGAAAGACGGUUUCGGCUGUCACUUACAGAUGGGCCCGCGGCGCAUUAGCUAGUUGGUGAGGUAACGGCUCACCAAGGCAACGAUGCGUAGCCGACCUGAGAGGGUGAUCGGCCACACUGGGACUGAGACUCGGCCCAGACUCCUACGGGAGGCAGCAGUAGGGAAUCUUCCGCAAUGGACGAAAGUCUGACGGAGCAACGCCGCGUGAGCGAUGAAGGCCUUCGGGUCGUAAAGCUCUGUUGUCAGGGAAGAACAAGUAUCGGAGUAACUGCCGGUACCUUGACGGUACCUUACCAGAAAGCCACGGCUAACUACGUGCCAGCAGCCGCGGUAAUACGUAGGUGGCAAGCGUUGUCCGGAAUUAUUGGGCGUAAAGCGCGCGCAGGCGGUUCCUUAAGUCUGAUGUGAAAGCCCCCGGCUCAACCGGGGAGGGUCAUUGGAAACUGGGGAACUUGAGUGCAGAAGAGGAGAGCGGAAUUCCACGUGUAGCGGUGAAAUGCGUAGAGAUGUGGAGGAACACCAGUGGCGAAGGCGGCUCUCUGGUCUGUAACUGACGCUGAGGCGCGAAAGCGUGGGGAGCGAACAGGAUUAGAUACCCUGGUAGUCCACGCCGUAAACGAUGAGUGCUAAGUGUUAGAGGGUUUCCGCCCUUUAGUGCUGCAGCAAACGCAUUAAGCACUCCGCCUGGGGAGUACGGCCGCAAGGCUGAAACUCAAAGGAAUUGACGGGGGCCCGCACAAGCGGUGGAGCAUGUGGUUUAAUUCGAAGCAACGCGAAGAACCUUACCAGGACUUGACAUCCUCUGACAACCCUAGGGAUAGGGCUUUCCCCUUCGGGGGACAGAGUGACAGGUGGUGCAUGGUUGUCGUCAGCUCGUGUCGUGAGAUGUUGGGUUAAGUCCCGCAACGAGCGCAACCCUUGAUCUUAGUUGCCAGCAUUCAGUUGGGCACUUUAAGGUGACUGCCGGUGACAAACCGGAGGAAGGUGGGGAUGACGUCAAAUCAUCAUGCCCUUUUUGACCUGGGUUACACACGUGCUACAAUGGAUGGUACAAAGGGCUGCGAAGCCGCGAGGUUUAGCCAAUCCCAUAAAACCAUUCUCAGUUCGGAUUGUAGGCUGCAACUCGCCUACAUGAAGCCGGAAUCGCUAGUAAUCGCGGAUCAGCAUGCCGCGGUGAAUACGUUCCCGGGCCUUGUACACACCGCCCGUCACACCACGAGAGUUUGUAACACCCGAAGUCGGUGGGGUAACCUUUAUGGAGCCAGCCGCCUAAGGUGGGACAGAUGAUUGGGGUGAAGUCGUAACAAGGUAACC
rnacentral:rRNA from 1 species